ACACUUUUACUACAUUAACUUCAUGUGGACAACAGACGCAUACACAGUAAUGUGUUACAUUGACAAUAUGUUUGUGUGUGUCAGGGCAUGAAAGGAGCAGAUGGCUACAGCGAUUCUGAUGAAGACCUGCAUGGUGCUUACCUUGAGAGAAUGAAAAAAAGAGGGCAAGAUCUGAACUUUGGUUUACAGUUUUCAACUUAAUUCCAACAAAAUAUAUAAAGAAACAAAUAUAUAAAGUAAUGGCACGUCAAAGUGAGUUUUGUUAGUGGAUUGUGCUGUAUUCUGUAGAGCAGUUACUGUAGAUAAUAUCUGUUAUCUUCCUGUAGAUGAGUCUUUCAACCCUGGAGAAGAGGAUGAUGAUGUCCCAGAAGAGUAUGACAGUAACGUUUCAGAGAGCGAUAGUGAGGCAAAUCAUGGAGACAGCGAGGAAGAAGAGGAAGGCAAGAAGAAAAAAGCUAAAAUGAAGCCCAAGAAAGUGAUGAAGGAGAACAAAGUGAGAAAACCACAGAAAGAGGAGUGGCACAGAAAAGCGGAAGAGGCCAAAAAAAUAAAAAAUAUGAGAAAGCCAUGAAAGAGUACAGAGCGAGUGGAGGAGAAGUGGCAUCUGUUACUAAGUGAGCAAACAGAUCUAUCAAACACAUACUUUAUAUCACAAUUAUUUUAUAUUUUAAAGCAUAUUUGCACACGUGUACGUUUCUGUAAACUUCAAUUUGCACAUUGUUUGAAAGUAAACACUGGGUAAGAUAUUAGAUUGCAUCAAAGAAAUAGUCACCAAAAUAAUCAUACAAUGCAGUUUAUAAAUUAAGAAGUCUCAUAUAUUCCUCAAGUCUGAAUUUAUUUGUUCAAAAACACAAUAAAAACAGCAUUAUGGUGACA
ensembl:lncRNA